UACGUAGGUGGCAAGCGUUGUCCGGAUUUAUUGGGUUUAAAGGGUGCGUAGGCGGCCCGUUAAGUCAGGGGUGAAAGACGGUGGCUCAACCACCGCAGUGCCUUUGAUACUGGCGGGCUUGAAUGCACUUGAGGUAGGCGGAAUGUGACAAGUAGCGGUGAAAUGCAUAGAUAUGUCACAGAACACCGAUUGCGAAGGCAGCUUACUAAAGUGUGAUUGACGCUGAGGCUCGAAAGCGUGGGGAUCGAACAGG
rnacentral:rRNA from 1 species